rnacentral:rRNA from 1 species
UACGAGAGGCCCAAACGUUAUUCGGAAUUACUGGGCUUAAAGAGUUCGUAGGCGGCGCAGAAAGUAGGGUGUGAAAGCCCUCGGCUCAACCGAGGAAUUGCGCUCUAAACUACUGUGCUUGAGGAACCUAGAGGUGAGCAGAACAGAUGGUGGAGCGGUGAAAUGCGUUGAUAUCAUCUGGAAUACCGGAGGCGAAGGCGGCUCACUGGGGGUUUUCUGACGCUGAGGAACGAAAGCGUGGGGAGCAAACAGG